GAACGCACCUUGCGCUCCUUGGUAUUCCGAGGAGCAUGCCUGUUUGAGUGUCAUUAAUAUAUAUCAACCUUUCUCUUGUUGAAUGGUUUGGAUGUGGGGGCUUGCUGGUCUCUAAUAGGGUUCAGCUCUCCUGAAAUGCAUUAGCAGAACAACCUGUUCAUUGGUGUGAUAACUAUCUACGCUUUUGAAUGUAAAGGGGACAGUUCAGCUUUCUAACCGUCUUUGGACAAUCUAUCAUUUAUGUGACCUCAAAUCAGGUAGGACUACCCGCUGAACUUAAG
rnacentral:misc_RNA from 1 species